AACGAACGCUGGCGGCAUGCCUAACACAUGCAAGUCGAACGAGACCUUCGGGUCUAGUGGCGCACGGGUGCGUAACGCGUGGGAACCUGCCCUUAGGUUCGGAAUAACUCCCCGAAAGGGGUGCUAAUACCGGAUAAUGUCUUCGGACCAAAGAUUUAUCGCCUUUGGAUGGGCCCGCGUUGGAUUAGCUAGUUGGUAGGGUAAAAGCCUACCAAGGCGACGAUCCAUAGCUGGUCUGAGAGGAUGAUCAGCCACACUGGGACUGAGGCACGGCCCAGACUCCUACGGGAGGCAGCAGUGGGGAAUAUUGGACAAUGGGCGAAAGCCUGAUCCAGCAAUGCCGCGUGAGUGAUGAAGGCCUUAGGGUUGUAAAGCUCUUUUACCCGGGAUGAUAAUGACAGUACCGGGAGAAUAGGCUCCGGCUAACUCCGUG
rnacentral:rRNA from 1 species